rnacentral:lncRNA from 10 species
UAGUCUACUGAGAUAAGGGAAGAAUACUUAGCACAGUGCUAGUACACUGUAAGUACUCAAAUGUUACAGAUCCAAGUAUUUUGUAAGAAAAUACCAGCAAAAGAUAAAAGUUUUUUUAUGGAUCGUAUUUGUAUCAAUCACCUACAUGAUCUAGAGCCCUCACAUGGAUAACAUUUAAAUGUUCAGUUUGCCUAAUAGCCUUCAAUGAAACACGGAUUCUUCUACUUAAAAAAGGUAAGCCUGGAGAAAAUAAAACUGAUUACUAUGCAAGAAAAAAAUGUGCUCUGCUGUGCUCCUUGGUAUUUUUAAGUGGUUUCCAUUGUCUUAACACCUGUCUUAAAACGGGUAUGUUGUUUGCACUGAACCCUCAAAAGUAUUUAUACCUAUUAAGUUAAAUUUCCCUUUUUAGAGUUAAUGCUUCAUUGCCUGUCGGCAUAUUAUCACUAUCUGUCUUUGAAAAAUUUUCUUUUAAGUCUCAACUAUUUCUUCAUAAAGCUCUUGUUCAGAGAAACAUUUUUUGAUUUGUCCAAUGGACUGAAAUAAAAGGUUAGUAAACC